GAUGAACGCUGGCGGCGUGCUUAACACAUGCAAGUCGAGCGAAGCGAUUAUGAUUAGCGGACUUCGGUCCAAUGAACUUAAUUGACUUAGCGGCGGACGGGUGAGUAACGCGUGGGUAACCUGCCUUACACAAGGGGAUAACAGUUAGAAAUGACUGCUAAUACCGUAUAAGACCACAGUAUCGCAUGAUACAGUGGUAAAAACUCCGGUGGUGUAAGAUGGACCCGCGUCUGAUUAGCUAGUUGGUGAGGUAGUAGCUCACCAAGGCGACGAUCAGUAGCCGGCCUGAGAGGGUGAUCGGCCACAUUGGGACUGAGACACGGCCCAAACUCCUACGGGAGGCAGCAGUGGGGAAUAUUGCACAAUGGGCGAAAGCCUGAUGCAGCGACGCCGCGUGAAGGAAGACGUAUUUCGGUAUGUAAACUUCUAUCAGCAGGGAAGAUAAUGACGGUACCUGACUAAGAAGCCCCGGCUAACUACGUGCCAGCAGCCGCGGUAAUACGUAGGGGGCAAGCGUUAUCCGGAUUUACUGGGUGUAAAGGGAGCGUAGACGGUUAUGCAAGUCUGAUGUGAAAACUUGGGGCUCAACUCCAAGACUGCAUUGGAAACUGUAUGACUAGAGUGUCGGAGAGGUAAGUGGAAUUCCUAGUGUAGCGGUGGAAUGCGUAGAUAUUAGGAGGAACACCAGUGGCGAAGGCGACUUACUGGACGAUUACUGACGUUGAGGCUCGAAAGCGUGG
rnacentral:rRNA from 1 species